GGUGAGCGCUAUUAAUCGGCUAUAAAACUAAAUUUUCUUGUACCUGAGAUAUCCCUUCGAAAUCACUGAUAGUAAUUUGGGUAAUGUACGGAAGUGUAGUGGGUUAUGCGGAAAACUCAAAUGAGCAAGUGGUGAAAGAUGGAAAUAUAUACCGUCUACAUUUUGCCACCGGAGAAACUGUUUAACCAAGUUCUCGAAUUAAAUUAUUCUGCUCAUUGCGGCAAAAGGUGCCUAAACGACGUUCUCUGGAGCAUCAUUAAAGCAAGUAAAAAAAAAAAAACUAAUGCUCAUCCAGACCGUACAAUAAACAGAGUAUCGAGACUGCAAACAUCGUACGUCAUGCAAGAGUUAUUUCAGCAAUUACGCCAAGUGAUGGACGUGGUGUUGGGCUGCGUUCCCAGAACCGGGCUUCGCUGGAUUCUAAGGUAAGUGAUGGUUCCAGCAGAAUUAAUUGAAAUUGUUUACUGGCUGCAAUGAAAACAGAUACCAUAUGCUGUUGAAAUCUCAUUAGCAGCGAUGCGAUUACAAUAUUGGUUAAUAAAACGUUAAAAGCGUCGGGUCAUUACAAUGGUGGUAAUUACCAGAUAUAAUCUGAAGCAAAAUCUCGGCGUUUAUAACUGAAAUUGUCAUAUUGUUACAACUUUCGUUCAAGGGAAAUUCCUAUUAGAGGUUUGGUGAAAUUUUAGUGGCUAUGUAAAUGCUCAUUAGCUGAAAUGUCAGGGACUAGGUAACAUUUAUAUUGUAAAGGUGUGCCUGGUGUUUUAAGUGUACAUAUAUCUUCGUAUUCAGCAGUUGAUUUGAUAAUCAUAUUCUUUUGCGAUGUUCUGAUAUGAAAGUCGUAUCGAAGGAAUGAACGGGAAAUGUUUUUGGAUACAUUGUCUUCGUUAAGAAGGUUAAUCGAUUGCUAGCGUGUCAAUACUUUUGAUACUUUAAGAAAGCAGGACUUGACUGUUAGAUUUAUAAGCCAUAGAAAUAUCGAAGAGGCACAUUUCAACACCCGUUUGUUAAAUGUUGCCCUCGUGAUGAAGGUGGAAAUUCCAUUGCCAGUGGUCACAGUAGUAAACUGCAUAACUUUUUCGUGUUUUUUUUUUUCAUAGGCUUCUGAUUGGAUGGAGUGAUGCUAGAAGACAGAAAGUUGGCAGAAACUGCAGGUGUGAAGCUGUGUUAAGAGACUGAAUGUGAACCAGAAUCCUAUGUAGAUUUUUCUAGUAGUUUAUGUUGUGGGAAUUUUGUGCAUGAGGUUUUUUUCAGUGAUUCAGCAGAUAAUGCUUGAAUGAGGCAAUGGCUGUCCUUUUACUUUUUCAUAGAAGGCA